rnacentral:lncRNA from 1 species
CAAAGGGAGAUAACUUUAAUUUUUUACUAUACAGAUUAAAAGUACUUCUUAAUGCAAAAAAAUUUGAGUCUGUCCAGUUUGAUAUUCUUUUUCUUUUCUUUUUAAAAUAUCUUUUUCUCAUACACUUAUGUGAUAAAGUUAUAUAAAUGUCUGAAAUUAAGUCUGUAGCUCUGUUCAGUCCAUCUUGAGUAUUUUCAAAGUUUGUUUGUUGAAAAUUGUUUAAUUCUUCAUAUAUAUAUUUUUCUUUAAGCUCAUUCUCAAGCAAGAGUUUGGAAGUGUUUGUCCACUUGAAUUCAAAAUCUAUUUUUUUAUAAAUAUUAUUUAUAUUUGGCAGUUUUCCAUCACAUUUUAAAUGGGUAACAAUUUGAUUAUGAUCUGAAAAGUAUGAUGGAGUUUUUACUAUAAAAUAAUUCACUGAGGAGAGUAGACUUUCACUAGUUAUUGCAUAAUCAACUACACUGCAUCCUUUCAUGCUAAAAAAUGUCAUAUUUCCUAACAAAUCUCCAAUAAAUCUCCCAUUUAGAAUACGGAGUUGGGCAGAAACACAGAGGUCUAGUAAAUCCCUCCCUUGUGGGUUUAUGAUUUUAUCUUGACUUUUUCUAGUCAGUUGAAAAUCUGACUUGUAGUUAUCUGGUAAAAUAUGAGUCAAAUUUAUGUUGUUUUCAUCAUUUGCUACAAAAUCAGAAUAAUUAGAUAUACCUCUGAGUUAAAAUCACCCAUUAACAAAAAAUUUCCUUUGCUAGAAAGGAAACUUAUUUCUGAUUCCAAACCUUCAUAUUCAUUAUUGUAAUGUGGGGAAUUCUUUGGUGGAAUAUAUAUGCCACAUAUAUACAAAUCAUCUUGAAGUCCAAAAAAUGACUUAUCAAGUUUUCAUCCAUAAUCUAUUCUGAGAUUUGGUUACAUUUUUUAGAUAAGUAAUCCCUUUUUCAAACUUUUUCUUAUAGUAAACAAUAAUACCCCCACUAUUUCUUUUUGCUUUAUCAGCUUUAGUUCUUUGCUUACAAUAAUAAUUAUAUUCAGGUAUUUGGACAUCAGGUUCUACCCCUUUCCAAGUUUCUAUCAAUAUAUUUAUGUCAUGGUUUAUCAAUUCCAAGAAAUCAGGGUCUCUGUGUUUCUGUCCCAAUCCAUGAACAUUCCAGCUAGAUAUAGAAAUAGAAUCUAUAGAUGAAAACAUUUGUUUUGUUUUCAUAUUUAUUUAUAAAACAUUUAAUUAUGCAAGAAAUUUCCCCAUUCAAGUACAUGUACAUGUAUAUUAACUCAUAUGAAACUUAAUUUGAACAUAUUUAUCUUUUUCUAAGAUGCUUUAAUUAUAACAAAAAGUAUAUAUUUUUUAAAUAUAUAUGUACCAGUAUAUAUAAUAUACCCAAAUCAAGAUAAGCAUUUUGUAUCUAUGCACAUUCCCUUAUAUACAUGUAUCUACAUGUGUAUAUGAUAUAUAAACACAAAUACGUAGACGGUUUGACCUGUUAAAAUUCCUUAAUUAAUAUGGAAUUUGUGUGUGUAUUAUAUAAAUGUAUAUAUUGAAAAUAAAUUCCAUUUUUAUCAAAUCUCAAACAAUGCUAAAGAAGUUAAAGUAAUUCCAAAAAUAGCGCUUUACUUUGUUGUUGUUUUAUUUUAUCAUUACCUUUGAAACAUAGACUUUUCUCUUUAUUCUAAAUAAACAUGUAAGUUAAUAUUGGUUCAUAUUAUGACUAGAUGAUAAAGUUAAUAUUGGUUCAUAUUAUGACUAGAUGAUAAAGUUAUUGCCAAUACACAUGAUUCUGAGGUCAAUAACAUUUUUAUUUAUUUUUCUGUUAUAUUUUCAAGUCCAAAAUAGAAACUGUAAAUAAUGAGUUUAAAUUUCAUUAAUUUCUAUGUAGCUAUAACAUAUAAUAAAAUAAAAU